rnacentral:rRNA from 1 species
CCUACGUGUGGCAGCAGUGAGGAAUAUUGGUCAAUGGGCGCUAGCCUGAACCAGCCAAGUAGCGUGAAGGAUGACUGCCCUAUGGGUUGUAAACUUCUUUUAUAUGGGAAUAAAGUGCAGUACGUGUACUGCUUUGUAUGUACCUUAUGAAUAAGGAUCGGCUAACUCCGUGCCAGCAGCCGCGGUAAUACGGAGGAUCCGAGCGUUAUCCGGAUUUAUUGGGUUUAAAGGGAGCGUAGGAGGGUUGUUAAGUCAGUUGUGAAAGUUUGCGGCUCAACCGUAAAAUUGCAGUUGAUACUGGCAGUCUUGAGUACAGUAGAGGUAGGCGGAAUUCGUGGUGUAGCGGUGAAAUGCUUAGAUAUCACGAAGAACUCCGAUUGCGAAGGCAGCUUGCUGGACUGUAACUGACGCUGAUGCUCGAAAGUGUGGGUAUCAAACAGGAUUAGAUACCCCAGUAGUC